CUCAACUGGGAGGGUGCGUCGGAAACUGUGAGACUAGAGUACUGGAGGGGUGCAUGGAAUUCCCGGUGGAGUGGUGGAAUGCGUUGAUAUCGGGAGGAACACCAGAAGCGAAGGCGGUGCACUGGUCAGUUACUGACGCUGAAGCGCGACAGCGUGGGGAGCGAACGGGAUUAGAUACCCCGGUAGUCCACGCCGUAAACGAUGACGACUAGGUGUGUGUGACCUACGGGUUAUGCGUACCGCAGCAAACGCGAUAAGUCGUCCGCCUGGGGAGUACGGCCGCAAGGCUAAAACUCAAAGGAAUUGACGGGGGCCCGCACAAGCAGCGGAGCGUGUGGUUUAAUUCGAUGCAACGCGAAGAACCUUACCUGGCCUUGACAUGGUGGUAGUAGGGAACCGAAAGGGGACCGACCUUCGGGAGCC
rnacentral:rRNA from 1 species